AAAACGUAUAGCUUCUCUUUUAAUUUAUAUAUUGAACCUCUUGAAAAAUUAUUUUGAUAAAAAUAUGAUUGAAUACAGUCGUGCUUGCCCCUUUUUAGGGUGAUGUCAGUUUAACAUGCUUGUUUUUUCUAGUAGCCAGUUUUCCGGCUUUUACAUCCGCGAGUCUAUUACUAUGAGUGUUUAUAAGUUUUCCUUCCCAUAAAAAUUAUAGCAGUAUAGAGACCUUGUGCAGCAUAAAACUGUAAUAGUUUAUGCUGCUUUGUUUAUUUUUAAUCACAAUUUUCAUUUUCUGCUGCAUGCGAAUUUCACAUUUUUUACUGUCUUUCUCUUUGAUGCAAUAGAAUUUUUGUAUAAUUGCUCUUUUUUUUAAUUUUAAGCAAUUUGAUCUGUUGUCUUGCUCCGGGUCAGCGUAAGAUGCUUCGACUAGUACAAAGUAGAUAAUUGGGAGUAUCGUGUUAGUUAUACCGGCUGUGUUAUAAAUGAAUUCAGACUGGUUAGUGGUCCCAAUACUGGCGGAUCACCAUUUGAAAACACUAGAUCCUGAAUGCUACCGUAGUCACGUUGGAAAAGGAUACUGACAGCUUUCAAAAACAACAAAUUUUUUCAACCAAUCAGUGAUGC